UGAAUAUCAUGCUUUUUAUUUUAUCCAAAUCGUACAAUUAGUUUUCCAGAUUUUGAACUUUGAAGUGAGUGGUCACCUUGAAGGACAUACUUCCAUUUUAGGCUUCACUCUCAAUAAAGGCGGAUAUUUCCCAAACUUUUACUUGGACUGUUCUAAACCUUUAACAGUAUUUUCAGGCAAUACUCAACUGAAUAUCAUGCUUUUUAUUUUAUCCAAAUCGUACAGUUAGUUUUCCAGAUAUUGGACUGUGAAGUGAGUGGUCACCUUGAAGAACAUACUGCCCUCAUAGGCUUCACUGUCAAUAAAGGCAAAUAUUUCCCAAACUUUUACUUGUACUGUUCUAAACCCUUAACAAUAUUUCCAGGCAAUAUUCGACUGAAUAUCAUGCUUUUUGUUUAAUCCAAAUCAUACAGUUAGUUUGCCAGAUUUUGGACUCUGAAGUGAGUGGUUACCUUAAAGGACAUACUGCUAUCUUAAGUUUCACUGUCAAUAAAGGCGGAUAUUUUCCAAACUUUGACUUGAACUGUUCUAAACCCUUAACAAUAUUUCCAGGCAAUACUCGACUGAAUAUCAUGCUUUUUGUUUUAUCCAAAUCAUAAAGUUAGUUUUCUAGAUAUUGGACUUUGAAGUGAGUGGUUACCUUGAAGUACAUACUGCCAUCUUAGGCUUCACUGUUAAUUAAGGUGAAUAUUUCCCAAAGUUUUACUUGGACUGUUUUGGACCCUGAACAACAUCUCCAGGCAACACUCAUCUGAACAUCAUGCUUUUUGUUUUAUCCAAAUCGUACAGUUAGUUUUCCAAAUUUUGGACUUUGAAGUGAGUGAUCACCUUGAAGGACAUACUUCCAUCAUAGGCUUCACUGUCAUUUAAGGCGGAUAUUUCCCAAACUUUUACUUGGACUGUUCUAAACCCUUAAGAACAUUUCCAGGCAAUACUUAAUUGAAUAUCAUACUUUUUGUUUUAUCCAAAUCACACAGUUAGUUUUCCAGAUAUUCUACUUUGAAUUGAGUGGUCACCUUGAAGGACAUACUGCUAUCUUAGGCUUUACUGUCAAUAAAGGCGGAUAUUUCCCAAACUUUUAUUUGGACUAUCCUAAACCCUUAAUAACAUUUCCAGGCAAUACUUAACUGAAUAUCAUGCUUUUUGUUUUAUCUAAAUCAUACAGUUAGUUUUCUAGAUAUUGGACUUUGAAGUGAGUGGUCACCUUGAAGGACAUACUGCCUUCUUAGGCUUCACUGUCAAUAAAGGCGAAUAUUUCCCAAACUUUAAUUUGGACUAUUCUAAAUCCUUAACAAUAUUUCCAGGCAAUACUAAACUGAAUAUCAUGCUUUUUGUUUUAUCCAAGUCAUACAGUUAGUUUUCCAAAUUUUGGACUUUGAAGUGAGUGGUCACCUUGAAGGACAUACUUCCAUCAUAGGCGUCACUGUCAUUUAAGGCGGAUAUUUUCCAAACUUUUACUUGGACUAUCCUAAACCCUUAAGAACAUUUCCAGGCAAUACUUAACUGAAUAUCAUGCUUUUUGUUUUAUCCAAAUCAUACAGUUAGUUUUCUAGAUAUUGGACUUUGAAGUGAGUGGUCACCCUGAAGAACAUACUGCUAUCUUAGGCUUCACUGUCAAUAAAGGCGGAUAUUUCCCAAACUUUUAUUUGGACUAUCCUAAACCCUUAAUAACAUUUCCAGGAAAUACUUAACUGAAUAUCAUGCUUUUUGUUUUAUCUAAAUCAUACAGUUAGUUUUUCAGAUUUUGGACUUUGAAGUAAGUGGUCACCUUGAAGGACAUACUGCCAUCUUAGACUUCACAGUAAAUAAAGGCGAAUAUUUCCCAAACUUUUACUUGCACUGCUCUAAACCCUUAACAAUAUUUCCAGACAAUACUCAACUGUAUAUAAUUCUUUUUAUUUUAUCCAAAUCGUACAGUUAGUUUUCCAGAUUUUGGACUUUGAAGUGAGUGGUCACCUUGAAGGACAUAGUUUCUUCUUAAGCUACAUUGUUAAUAAAAGCGAAUAAUUCACAAACUUUUACUUGGACUCUUUUGAACCCUAAACAACAUUUCCAGGCAACAAUCUGAAUAUCAUGCUUUUUGUUUUAUUCAAAUUCUACAGGCAGUUUUCCAAAUUUUGGACUUUGACUUACAGUGGGAGAAAAUCACGAAAAACUGCUUUUUCAAAACAUGCAAUUUUCACAACAUAUAUGGAAAAUUUGGUAUUUUUUAUUUUUUUUGCAAGUUCGGCUGCACCUUUUUGGGCACCCUAUAGUUACUUAAUGUUUCUGAUUCCAUAGUCGUACCAUGAAAGCAUUCGAAAAUAGUUCAAGAAAUCAAGAAAAUUCAAAAUAUUCUUUUCUAAAAGAACCAAUGUAAUAGGAAUGUUCCUGAUACAAGCAAUUUGAGUAAUAAAAAUAAAAAAUGCCUAAUAUUCAUUGAAAUAUUCCUGGAUUAUAAGAUAAUUAAUUCAUAAACAAUAAAUUUGAGUCAUGGUUGUGGAUAUUUUAUAGAGUAAAUUGAAGCAUGUUCCACAAGUGUAAACCAACUUUUUCAGAGUAACACAAAACCAGUGCUUCAUUGAUAACUUUCUGUAACUUAAAGUGCAGAACAUCUUCACUCUUGUAGAUGUUGCUUUUUGAACAAGUCUAGAUACAAGACUUUGGAAUCCCAAGCUUGUCAUAAGUCCUCAAAGGUUCCAUUUACUUCUCUGCACCGAAUUCUCUAAAUUGAUUCCCAAUACUCCACAAUUUCAAGGAUCUUAGGAAAACUUAAUAUUGACUCCUGAAGUUGUAUAAGAAUUCGUGAGCAAGUAAUGGAAUCCAGAAACUGCAAAUCAGCAUAUCUGCAUCAGAUAAUGAAUAUUCAUUCAGAAACUUCAAGUUUCUUAUGGACUUUCAUUGAUGGAUAUUCAGGGAUCAAGUCAGCUUUUGCCAUAUAUUCAAAAAUGUUUUUUUAGCAGACAAGGAGAGUAAAUAAUAAUGUGGCAUGCUAAAGAGAGAGGAUCAUUUUCGUCCUUCCUAUCCCAAUUUCUUCUGUCUGUUUAGACAAUUUUUAUCAGGACUUUAAUCCUAAACUGCCUGGAAUUAAUAAAAUAUUUUUUUUUAUUUCAGGCAAUUAAAACAGGAGAUUCACCUUCUCAAUGAAAAUCUGCUCACUAAUUUUCUCUCUAAAUAUUCUUCCUAAAACCCUCAAUUCUAAAAAACACGAAACGUCGUAUCUUGGAUAUACGAUUAUCUUCUAAAAAGAGUGAUUAUAAUCACUUAUCACUCGUGAUUUUUAUGCGAAAAUAAGUGGUAAAAGACACAUACGGUACCCACAAAACAUUCCCUCCAGCAAUUGUAUUAUAAACUGCAAAUCUGUCCAAAUAAAUCAAACUUAUAAUGUAUAUAAGAUGAGUAAAAAAAAAUCGUUUCCCUUUUUUUUAUUAUAAAGGAGCGAUGAUUAGGUUAUAAGCGACCGGUGUAUUAAAACAAAAAAAAACAACCAUUUUACUUACUGUAUUAUUUUAUUACUUCAGACUUAAAUUUAAAAAAAAAAGUAACAAAAAAAAACCGAUGUACUUAAAUGUAAGAAUACUGUAUGUUUGAUGUUUAGCAAUAAUAAUAAUUAUGAUUUGUAUACACAAUAUUAAUUAAUAAAUAAAUGUGUUUUGUUCAUUUU